rnacentral:misc_RNA from 1 species
AUGAUGGGUCUCCCAAGAUUGCCAAGGAGAUAAUCGAAGCCAUAGACGAUGUGAACUUUUCAACCACCUUCAAAGUGGUAGAAGGAGAUCUCCUGAAGGAUUACAAGAGCUUCAAACUCAUCGUUCAAGCUACACCAAAGGAGAAGGGAAGCUUGGUGCACUGGACCUUGGAAUAUGAGAAGAUCAACGAGAAUACUCCAGAUCCCAAUACACUGCUAGAGUUUGUUGUUCAUUGCAGCAAGGAUAUUGCUGCUCACCUUACGCAAGCCCAAAAGAACUGAUGGAUCUUCAGCUACGCUCUGAUAUGUGGUGUAUAAUAAAUAAGGGCAUGUGAAUUUGUACCUACCAUAUGCAAAAUCUUAAAUCUGUGUGGGUUUGUUAAUGAUAAUAUCUACCUUUGAUUAAUAUCAGAAUAUAUAUUACGG